AUGCAGAAAUUACCUCCAAUCAGGACUGGCAGAACUACAGCACCACCUGGUUUUGGAGCUCAUGCUAACUUGGAAACAGCAAGUGCUAUGGGAACACCAGUAACACAAAGAAGGGGAGAUCAUACUCCUGCUUUCCAACAAUAUCAGCAACCAGCUAGAGACAGACAGUUGUGGCAGGAUUACUUUAGAACCUAUGAGCAGGAUAUGCAGGUUCAGUUCAUGAAAGCAAUGACAAAAGGUCCAAGGAUGGAUUUUCCUAGAUUUUCUGGUGAAGAUCCUGUUGGCUGGAUUCGACAGUGCAACAAGUACUUCCAAAUGGCAGGAGCACCUGAAGAAUAUAAGGUAUCACUCUCUCAAAUGUACAUGACAGGAGAUGCUGAUGUAUGGUUGAGGAGAUCUGGCCUACUCAAGAAACAACUGUCAUGGCAAGAAUUUGGAAAAGAAAUCAUUAAGAGAUUUUCUGCCCAAGGCUCUUAUGACCUCACUGAACAAUUCACUUCUCUGAAACAAGGAAGCAAUUCAGUGUCAGAGUAUACCAAGAUGUUUGAAGAUUUAAUGGCUGAACUGCAGGAGGAAAAUCCUACAUUAUCUGAACUCUGGUUUGUAAAGUGCUAUGUUAAUGGGAUGAGAGAUGGAAUUAAGUACCAAUUGAGACUUCUUAGACCCACUUCCCUAACUGAUGCCUACUGUUUGGCAAAAGAGAUUGAACCUUGUCACCCCCCUCCUGUGACACAUAUCAAGAAGUCAACAACUCCUUACAAUAACUACUGGCAGAAAAAUGUAGUGCCCACAGCAGGGAAACAGGUGAUCAACACUGCAACAGCUCCAACAACUAGUAACACAAAGAACAAUGAACAUGUUAACAGUCAUAUUCAGAAAAGCAGGAAAGCAGGUGAAUGUUGGAGGUGUGGAGAUAAGUGGUUUCAUGGCCACAAAUGCACUUUAGUACCUAAUGUGCACAUGUUACAGCAAGAAAUGGAAGAAACUGGUCCAUAUGAAACUGACAUUGAUCAACAGGAAGUAGUAGAGGAAGGAACAGAACAGCAAGAGCAAGCAAUGUUUAUCUCUGCACAUGCUAUGGGCCAGUAG
rnacentral:rRNA from 1 species